rnacentral:rRNA from 1 species
UACGUAGGGGGCAAGCGUUGUCCGGAUUUAUUGGGCGUAAAGCGCGUGUAGGCGGCCAGGUAGGUCCGUUGUGAAAACCCGAGGCUCAACCUUCGAAAGCCGGUGGAUACUGCGUGACUAGAGUACGGAAGAGGAGAGUGGAAUUCCUGGUGUAGCGGUGAAAUGCGCAGAUAUCAGGAGGAACACCAACGGCGAAGGCAGCUCUCUGGGACGUUACUGACGCUGAGGAGCGAAAGCGUGGGGAGCGAACAGG